UGACGACAGUUCCUCCUGCUGCUCGUAGUUUUGGCAUGUCAGGAUUUUAUGUCGUCACAGACUAAACCCAGAGUCUGUUUCACCCAGGGUGGGCCAGGUAGCGGGGACUGCCUCCCUCCACCCUGGUUUUUGCGGGACUCUACAGUU